rnacentral:rRNA from 1 species
AUUGAACGCUGGCGGCAGGCCUAACACAUGCAAGUCGAACGAGUGGCGGACGGGAGGGUAAUGACUGGGAAACUGCCUGAUGGAGGGGGAUAACUAAUGGAAACGGUAGCUAAUAACGCAUACCAUCAGAUGUGCCAAGAUGGGAUUAGCUAGUUGGUGGGGUAACGGCGAACCAAGGCGACGAUCCCUAGCUGGUCUGAGAGGAUGACCAGCAACACUGGAACUGAGACAAGGUCCAGACUCCUACGGUAGGCAGCAGUGGGGAAUAUUGCACAAUGGGCGCAAGCCUGAUGCAGCCAUGCCGCGUGUAUGAAGAAGGCCUUCGGGUUGUAAAGUACUUUCAGCGGGGAGGCGUUACCCGCAGAAGAAGCACCGGCUAACUCCGGGCCAGCAGCCGCGGUAAUAC